GACGGAGGAGGCAAGCGUUAUCCGGAAUUAUUGGGCGUAAAGGGCACGUAGGCGGCUGGUCAAGUCUGGGGUAAAAUGCCACAGCUCAACUGUGGGAAGGCCCUGGAAACUGACCGGCUAGAGUGAGGUAGGGGUUGCGGGAAUUCCCGGUGUAGCGGUGAAAUGCGUAGAGAUCGGGAAGAACACCUGAGGCGGAAGCGCGCAACUGGGCCUCAACUGACGCUGAGGUACGAAAGCUAGGGGAGCGAAUGGG
rnacentral:rRNA from 1 species